rnacentral:rRNA from 1 species
UACAGAGGUCUCAAGCGUUGUUCGGAUUCAUUGGGCGUAAAGGGUGCGUAGGCGGCGCGGUAAGUCGGAUGUGAAAUCUCGGAGCUUAACUUCGAAAACUGCAUUCGAUACUGCCGUGCUUGAGGACUGGAGAGGAGACUGGAAUUUACGGUGUAGCAGUGAAAAUGCGUAGAGAUCGUAAGGAAGACCAGUGGCGAAGGCGGGUCUCUGGACAGUUCCUGACACUGAGGCACGAAGGCCAGGGGGAGCAAACAGG